AGAGUUUCUUUCUGGCUCAGGACGAACGCUGGCGGCGUGCCUAAUACAUGCAAGUCGAGCGAGCUUGCCUAGAUGAUUUUAGUGCUUGCACUAAAUGGAACUAGAUACAAGCGAGCGGCGGACGGGUGAGUAACACGUGGGUGACCUGCCCAAGAGACUGGGAUAACACCUGGAAACAGAUGCUAAUACCGGAUAACAACACUAGACGCAUGUCUAGAGUUUGAAAGAUGGUUCUGCUAUCACUCUUGGAUGGACCUGCGGUGCAUUAGCUAGUUGGUAAGGUAACGGCUUACCAAGGCAAUGAUGCAUAGCCGAGUUGAGAGACUGAUCGGCCACAUUGGGACUGAGACACGGCCCAAACUCCUACGGGAGGCAGCAGUAGGGAAUCUUCCACAAUGGACGAAAGUCUGAUGGAGCAACGCCGCGUGAGUGAAGAAGGGUUUCGGCUCGUAAAGCUCUGUUGGUAGUGAAGAAAGAUAGAGGUAGUAACUGGACUUUAUUUGACGGUAAUUACUUAGAAAGUCACGGCUAACUACGUGCCAGCAGCCGCGGUAAUACGUAGGUGGCAAGCGUUGUCCGGAUUUAUUGGGCGUAAAGCGAGUGCAGGCGGUUCAAUAAGUCUGAUGUGAAAGCCUUCGGCUCAACCGGAGAAUUGCAUCAGAAACUGUUGAACUUGAGUGCAGAAGAGGAGAGUGGAACUCUAUGUGUAGCGGUGGAAUGCGUAGAUAUAUGGAAGAACACCAGUGGCGAAGGCGGCUCUCUGGUCUGCAACUGACGCUGAGGCUCGAAAGCAUGGGUAGCGAACAGGAUUAGAUACCCUGGUAGUCCAUGCCGUAAACGAUG
rnacentral:rRNA from 1 species